rnacentral:tRNA from 1 species
UGGGGUGUAGCCAAGAGGUAAGGCAGCGGGUUUUGGUCCCGCCAUUCCGUGGGUUCGAAUCCUACCACCCCAGCCA